AGCGAACGCUGGCGGCAGGCUUAACACAUGCAAGUCGAACGGAUCCUUCGGGAUCAGUGGCAGACGGGUGAGUAACACGUGGGAACGUGCCUUUUGGUUCGGAACAACUCAGGGAAACUUGAGCUAAAUACCGGAUGUGCCCUUCGGGGAAAGAUUUAUCGCCAUUAGAGCGGCCCGCGUCUGAUUAGCUAGUUGGUGAGGUAAAGGCUCACCAAGGCUUCGAUCAGUAGCUGGCUGAGAGGAUGAUCAGCCACACUGGGACUGAGACACGGCCCAGACUCCUACGGGAGGCAGCAGUGGGGAAUCUUGCGCAAUGGGCGAAAGCCUGACGCAGCCAUGCCGCGUGAAUGAUGAAGGUCUUAGGAUU
rnacentral:rRNA from 1 species